rnacentral:rRNA from 1 species
GACGAACGCUGGCGGCGUGCCUAAUACAUGCAAGUAGGACGCACAGCCUAUACCGUAGCUUGCUACACCAUAGGCUGUGAGUUGCGAACGGGUGAGUAACGCGUAGGUAACCUGCCUAUUAGAGGGGGAUAACUAUUGGAAACGAUAGCUAAUACCGCAUAACAGUAUGUAACACAUGUUAGAUGCUUGAAAGAUGCAAUUGCAUCGCUAGUAGAUGGACCUGCGUUGUAUUAGCUAGUAGGUAGGGUAAUGGCCUACCUAGGCAACGAUACAUAGCCGACCUGAGAGGGUGAUCGGCCACACUGGGACUGAGACACGGCCCAGACUCCUACGGGAGGCAGCAGUAGGGAAUCUUCGGCAAUGGGGGGAACCCUGACCGAGCAACGCCGCGUGAGUGAAGAAGGUUUUCGGAUCGUAAAGCUCUGUUGUUAAGGAAGAACGAGUGUGAGAAUGGAAAGUUCAUACUGUGACG